rnacentral:rRNA from 1 species
AGACCGGUCUACUGGUCGUACUUUUGUACGUACUGGUUUUAUUGGUUUCUCCUUUCUGACGAACUAUAAUGCCAUUAAUUUGGUGUUAUGGGGAAUCAGGACUGUUACUUUGAAAAAAUUAGAGUGUUUAAAGCAGGCUCACGCUUGAAUACAUUAGCAUGGAAUAACGGAAUAGGACGUUUGAUUCUAUUUUGUUGGUUUCUAGGAUCGACGUAAUGAUUAAUAGGGAUAGUUGGGC